ensembl:lncRNA
CUGCUGGAAGGAAGACAGGCAGCUGCGUCCAGCGCGCCCGACCACGGCGUCAGCCCGCUGCCCGUGGUUCUCCCGCGAGGCGGCGUGUGGAAGUGCGAACGCUUCUAAAUAGGGAAGACUCUUUUCCUGUUGUGGAGUACUGAGCAUAUGAGCAUGCGUGUGUGUGCGCAUACAUGUCAACCUAAUCAUCCUUGUGCCUGAGGAAUUGUUCCUGCCUGAAGAGACCAAAUCCAUUAAGGUGUCUAACACUUCAGGUGAGACGUCAGAUAAUUUUGAUGAAUAGGAAAUACAUACACACCAACUCUACUUAAAUCUAUUCGUGAAAAGCCUAACAUUAUUUAAGAAAUUGCGCUGACUAUAUUGGAUGAAGACGAGAGAGAAGGAAUGCUUUGGAAGGCAAAAAGAGAAGAGGAGUAUUUAUAAGGACAUCUCCAGGAGCAUGUUCUCCAAGCCAGAGAGUGAAGAAGAAAAACGUGAUAGAUUGAACGUUUGCUCCCCAAAUCCCAUCAAAAUGUCAGUAAAGGAAUCUAAAAAUGUGUAAACCCAUAAAGACCAAGAGAAUAAAAGAAGAGACAAGAGCAGAUGAGAGAUAUCAAUAAAAUUUUAGAGGAUGUAAAGUAAGUGGAAACGUUGUGAUUAGUUCAGCAGAGGGACAACUGGAACUGAAAUCUGUACAGAGGGAGCCAAUGAGAAGAAGUUGUAGAACGAGGGUAAGUCUGAGAACCUGAGGCACCCGGUACCACAGAAGCAGAGGUGAAGGGUGAGGCUGAACCGGGAGGAUUGGUGAAUGUUGACAUAAGACGGAUUUAGGCCUCGGUUCCCUUCUACCUGGUACAGCUGGCUGGCUGCCUCUUCCCUACCCUGCCAGGAGACUGAAGGUCUAUUCUCUCAGGAAAUUGAACUAGAACGAGUCAUAGGGAGAUGCUGGAGGGAAUAUAGGAAAAUGAAAUCAGAGUGGGAAGGCAGCAGGCAAGAGAAAAGUGUCUGGAUCUUUGGGAAAGUUUCCUAUCCAAAGGCUCGAACUGACAGCUGAGCUGACGUGAGGAAACACCUUCAGAAAGCCGCAGAGCAGCUUGGAAGCCGUGAAGAAAGUCUGUUCUGAGAAAAACUGGCACAAUGGUCCUUGGAGAACCUGAUAAGGGCCAAGAACCUUCAAGCUGAGAAUGAGUGCCUUGGGAGAAGAUCUGAAAAAAUGGCUCUGUUUUUUAUUAAUCAACUUCAAACUGAUCAGGGAAGGCAGAUAUGAUGAAUUUCUAGAGUUUCCAGGCAGAGGGGGAGUAAAGCCGCAGAUGGAGUUCCUAAUCAGCUGACCUUCAGAUGGGGAGAUUAUCUUGGAUUUUCCUGGUGGGCCCAAGGUCACCACAAGGAUCCUAUAAGUGGUAGAAGGAGGCAGAAGAGAGCAAAUCAGAGAAAUGGCAGGGUGAGAAGCACUUAGCCCAACACUGCUGGCUUUGAAGAUGGAGAAACGGGGCCAUGAGCCAAAGAAUGCCGGUGACCUUAGAAGCUGAAAAAGAUGAGGAAACAGAUUCUCCCUUAGAACUUCCAGAAAGAACCAGCC